GAGUGAGGGCCCAGUGUUGCAUAGAUUUCAGGUGUGGAUUUCAGUAACUGAAGUCACAGUAUUUGGAAACAAUUUCACAAAAUGUCAAAAUGACAAACAACAAGCA